rnacentral:rRNA from 1 species
CCUACGGGGGGCAGCAGUAGGGAAUUUUCCACAAUGGACGAAAGUCUGAUGGAGCAACGCCGCGUGAGUGUAGAAGGGUUUCGGCUCGUAAAGCUCUGUUGUUAGUGAAGAAAGAUAGAGGUAGUAACUGGCCUUUAUUUGACGGUAAUUACUUAGAAAGUCACGGCUAACUACGUGCCAGCAGCCGCGGUAAUACGUAGGUGGCAAGCGUUGUCCGGAUUUAUUGGGCGUAAGGCGAGUGCAGGCGGGUAAAUAAGUCUGAUGUGAAAGCCUUCGGCUAAACCGGAGAAGUGCAUCAGAAACUGUUGAGCUUGAGUGCAGAAGAGGAGAGUGGAACGCGAGGUGUAGCGGUGGAAUGCGUAGAUAUAUGGAAGAACACCAGUGGCGAAGGCGGCUCUCUGGUCUGCAACUGACGCUGAGGCUCGAAAGCAAGGGUAGCGAACAGGAUUAGAUACCCUGGUAGUC